GUCUACGGCCAUGCCACCCUGAACAAACCCGAUCCCAUCUGAUCUCAGAAGCUAAGCAGGGUCGGGCCUGGUUAGCACUUGGAUGAGAGACCACCUAGGAAGACCAGGUGCUAUAGGCG
rnacentral:rRNA from 1 species